GACGUAGGAUGCGAGCGUUGUCCGGAUUUAUUGGGCGUAAAGAGUUCGUAGGCGGUUCGUUAAGUCUGAUGUUAAAGACUGGGGCUCAACCUCGGGAGUGCAUUGGAUACUGGCGGACUUGAGUGCAGUAGAGGCGAGUGGAAUUCUCAGUGUAGCGGUGAAAUGCGUAGAUAUUGGGAAGAACACCGGUGGCGCAGGCGACUCGCUGGGCUGUAACUGACGCUGAGGAACGAAAGCUAGGGGAGCAAAUGGG
rnacentral:rRNA from 1 species